rnacentral:rRNA from 1 species
UACGAGGGGGGGCGAGCGUUGUUCGGAAUUAUUGGGCGUAAAGGGUGCGUAGGCGGUUCCGCAAGUCCUGUGUGAAAUCUUCGGGCUCAACUCGAAGUCUGCACGGGAAACUGCGGGGCUUGAGUGUGGGAGAGGUGAGUGGAAUUCCCGGUGUAGCGGUGAAAUGCGUAGAUAUCGGGGAGGAACACCUGUGGCGAAAGCGGCUCACUGGACCAUAACUGACGCUGAUGCACGAAAAGCUGGGGGGAGCAAACAGG